UGCAUGACUGUUCUAUGAGCCCUCACAGGGGCCCUCUGGCUUGUUGACAGCUAUACAAUAACACAGCUAGAAGGGUGUGCGCAUGGCUGAGAGUUGCCAAAGAAUUAGCUUUGAAUUUCAGAAGUGGAACUUUUCUUAAGGCCAGAUUUGUAAGUUAGUACCUAUAAAAAUGAUUGGAAAACCUGAGUGCUUAUUCCAGUGACACUGGGAGACAAAAGUGCUAUACUCUGUUCAAGGGAAGAGCUGGGAACCAAGAGUCAGGCCUCUGUGGUACUGUCCCUGGCUCUGCAACUGAUUAGCUUUUACUGCAUAUGUCUUCACUGAGAUGUCCACCCAGUGAUGUGUGGGUCUUUUCCUGAGCGGUUACAAUUAAUUUAGAAGUCACCAGUGUGUAUGAUUAAUGUGGAAGAACACUUGCCUACAAUGAAUUUAAUCUGCCACUAUGUUGCCCAAUCACCCAGUUAAGAUCUGAGCCCCUGGCAUAAUCUACAGGCGGUGUUGAAAUUGUAAUGCUAUGGCAAGUUUAUUUCAGUGGAGUUCUUCUAAUGUUUGCUCUUGAUAAAACAGCGUGCGGUUCUCAUAAUUGCCUUUCUCUAUUCUCUCCCCAGCUCAAGGGGAUUUCUACUCUCGGGAGUGCCUUUUUAUCUGCCUUCCUAAAAUCUGAUAACAUGCUGCUGGAAUUUGGUUAUGUAGUUUUCAACUCAACAAGGCACUGCAUAGAAAAAAGUCAGGGAGCCUAAUUCUGGUCUAACUUACAUUGCUAUAAAUGAGGAGCAACUUCAUUAAAGUCAGUGGAAGUACAAAACUGAUGUGAGAUCAAGAUGAGACCCUCUGUAGUUUUUUUUUCCCCUUAGAGCAACAGAUAAGUAAUCUUCAAGCAUUAAUAAACAUGCUUAUUCAGAAAUCAACAUACUGAGUAUGCUUCACUGGACAAGCUAAAUUUUCUUAUUUCUGUGUAGGCAGACCCCCAUCCCAGAUCGUCAGGUGGUGUAAACUGGCAUAGCUUCAAUAAAGCUAUGUUGAUUUACCCCAGAUGAAGAUCUGGCAUAUAGCAUAUAAAUCAUAUAAACAGCCAAAGCUUAGGCAAUCUUUGAAAGAAUUCUCAGGUGGCUUCACAUACCUUGCUACCAAAACAGCAUAGAGAAUUCUACACUCACUUUCAACUCAUAAAAAUGACUGCACAAGGGACAAAGAAGUUGAAAAGAAUCAGACUCUAUUAUGAUUACAGCUGGAAUUUUUUGGUUCAGAAGCCAAAAUAAAACAAAAAAACCCACCUCCCCAAUUCAUACAGAAAUAAUAUUUUUUGUCAAAUCAAAAACUAAAAAAAAAGUUCAUUUUGAAUCAUCUGAAAUGUUUCAACCCAAAUUCAGCAAAUAGUUUUGGAGGUCCAAAACAAUUCAUUUUUGGCAAAAAAAAUUGCCAGAAAAGAAUUCACCCAGCUCUACUUAUGAUGACUACAGCAGUAGAAGAAAGAUGGUCCCUUGCCUUUGAACAAUCACACAAUCAGUCAUUGUUACUUUUAUCCUUCCUCCUGUAGUGAGGCGGUGUGGCUCCCCGCUGCCCCGGAGAGGGAUGAGCCCUUCUGGGCACCAGAGUGGGCGGAGCUAGGGAGCUCUGAGCCCGCCCCUCAGAGGGUCAGGAGGUGCCCCAGAAGUAUAAAGACUCGACCUCAGAACUCACUGAGAAGACAGCCGCCGGGGAGGCCAGAUGCCUCCGACCUGCCCCACACCCGCGACCCGGAGGAGUUGCCGGGCCUGCCCCACACCCGCGACCCGGAGGAGUUGCCGGGCCUGCCCCACACCCGCGACCCGGAGGAGUUGCCGGGCCUGCCUUUCGCCACCUACCCGGAGGAACCCAUGGUGCUGGACCCCCCAGAGGACACCACCGUGACCCAGAUGCCACAAGAGGGGGAGUCUGGAAGUAGCCAUGGGGCAGCCGACCAUACUCUGGCUGCAGCACUGCCAAAGCCCAUGUCAGUGUGUUGCGGCCGGGAUCCCCACUGACUCAGCAGCAGGUCUUCUGCCGCGGCUAGGGCCCCGGGCUGGGACGCAGUGGAGCGGGAGGGCCUGCGUCCCCCCUGCCACGCAACUCGCGGGUGGCCGUCUCCCCCUCUGCCAGGUCCCUUGGAGGCUUGGGCCUACUAUUGGUACCGCGACUGCUCAGCCCCUGAACAAGGGCCUGGGCUCAUUGCUACUGCUCAGCCCCUGCCUGAAGGCCUGAGCGUCUGACUUGUUGUCACCCUGCCCUGAACCAGGGCCUGGGCUUAUUGAUACUAUUUGUACUAUUACGGCUCAGCCCUGCCUGAGGGCCUGACUCACUGUUGCCCCGCCCUGACCUAGGGCCCGGGCUUACUGUGCUUUCUUGCAGUUGUCGCAAGGGCUGCCGAGGGAGACUCCCACGGCCGGACUAAUUCCCCCAAGACAUCAAUGGUGUCUAGUGAGGCGGUGUGGCUCCCCACCGCCCCGGAGGGGGACGAGCCCCGGCUAACUUCUUUACACUCCUUAUAUCUCGGAUAAUAUGGAGUUCCAGUUUACCCUGAUUAAAGUCCCAGUCACCCCUCUCAUUCUAAACUUUCUAACUCCGCUGUGAAUGUUCUGGCAACUAUUAAUGAGAUGCAGCAUUGAGCAAGCACUAUGAAUGCAAUGGUGCAGAGCUUAAUUAUUAUAAGGUGGCAUCCGGAAAUAUGGCCUUCUACAUUUAUAUUCAAAUACAUCAGUUAUAAGGGAGCAGACAGUAUUUGUUAUUUUAAAUACACGGGUAUAUGGCUGAUAUUCAGUUAAAGAUAUUCAGAUUAUUUGGCAUCGUGUGUGACUGCUUUAUAUGGGAAAUUACUACUUUUCAUACAAGAAUGCUGGCACAUAAUUAACUUGUCACUGCAAUAAUUCAGCUUGAUUCCUUCAAGAAACAUCUCAGCUGGAAAAUAAAAGAGAGCUUCCUAACACGCUCAUGAGUAAGGGCCCCAUUUGUCAAAUUUUGCUCAGGCAAGUAGUCCUUACUCACGUACAUGGUCCCAUUGAACUUGAGAAAUUGUAGAAAUAUGAAGUACAAGAUCAGUCUUAAAGUGUUAUCAUGAUAUGGCCCAAAUUGAUUCCAUUAAGAUCUCUUAAAAGGAAAGCGUCAGACGUGAAUUCUUACCAAUAUCAAUUUUAAAUUAUUUGUAUUACUGGGAGAAGUAGAUGGAACUGGCUCCUUCUAACCUGCACUGAGGACAUAUCUGCUACCAGUGGCAAAGUUUCCCUCCCCCACCAGUCCUCAGAGAGCACAGCUUGGCUGGUCCAGAGAAUCUGGCUUGAACUGUUUUAAACAGAGCUGGUCAGGAAUUUAUCAAAGUGGUUUAUAAACAAAAAAUGCAAAUUUUUUGUCAAAAUCAAAAAGGUUCAAAAACACGUUGAGAUGUUGACAAUGUUUUGUUUUAAAAACCAAAAUUAAAGUAUUACAGAAUGGAAUGUUUCGAUUUUUUCAUUUUGAAACAACCUUUCAAAACAAAACUGAUUUUCUAUUUUAAAAAUAAUUAAAGGUUGAAAUCUGAAUGAAAUUAUGAAAUUGUAUUGAAACAAAACCUGUUGAUUGACCCCUAACUAUUUGCAGGGUGGGUGGUGAAGAAGGGGAGAUGUAAUUUUGUGGAAUCUCUUUCCACAGCAUUUUGUUUUUCUUCCAUUUUGGAACAAAAAUGAAUGUCAAAAGUCCAGAAUUUCCUGAAAAAUAGAAAACCCAGCUCUAAAUUUGAAAAAUCAGACUAACAGUCCCUUCUCUGGUCAGUUACUGGGAUUUCAUUUUGUCAUGUUGUAAUUCCUAUUAGAUCACCACUUUUCCAUUGUAUCUCCCUGAAUAAACAGGGCAGACGUGAUCUUAAUUUCUAUGAUUAAAAAAGAAAAAGAAAACAAGCCCUUAAGAAAACCUUUGAAAUAUUUAUUGCUUCUUUAUGAUGUAAAAAGUAUCAGAAACAUCAUGGUUUCCUUUUGCCUGUAAAAAAGCAAACUGAGUGAUAUAACUUGCAUUCAUGCUUCACAUGUUCAUCUAGUCCUCAAACAUAUCUCCCCUGGCCUGCGAUUUAGAAAUCACUCGGACAAGAAAUGCAACCCAUUCCACCACUGCUAGGGGAGAAGUGUCCUUUCGAUGUCUUGGGGAUCAUUGCCUUGUCCAGUCUGGUUUGUAUUUCUUUGGCCACCAUACCAGGGACUGAACUCCAGGACCUCAGAGCACAAGCUGCUACAUAGUGAGCUACAGAGCCCAGAUUCUGUAGCUGAGAACAGUAGCAACUCAUAACCUUUGCAGACUGGUAUAAAAGGGGAAACUGGAAUACUCCUUCAUGAGUGGGUUACAGUAUGAUUCACCCAACUAAUGCUAAAGUCCAACUUCAGAUCUCAUCUAACUUCUUUGACCCCAGAGUUCCAUAGCAUGUAUAUAUUGGCCCAGAUUUUCUAUUGUGUAAAAUGGUGCACCUCCAUUACUUUGGUAGAAUGUCCCGGUUUGAAAAUUUGAUCCACAGUGGCUUGCAUGCAUUCCUUAAAAUGAAGGGUUUAUUUUUUCCAGUUUAAAAUGAAAAUUACUUGGAUGAAUAGUAGAAGCAAAAGACACAGUCUUGUACUGGGCUUUCAAAGGAGUUUUGCUUGAGUAAGAUGUGUAAGACUGAGCUCAAUGCAUUCCAUCUAUUUAGAAUAUAUUUGUUGGUCAUAAUAGAUAAUUGCAAUGCCAGGAUUGCAUUCGUUGUCAAAAUUUGGACUGAGUCCACCUCCCCUUUCAUGGCUUGAAAUGUGUGAAACUCAAUUGCUCUGGUGAAGUCUUAAUUUUAUACCAAUUUACUUACGAACGUUGAAAGGAAAAUAAAAUUUAAAAUGUGCAAAA